rnacentral:rRNA from 1 species
CCUACGGGAGGCAGCAGUGAGGAAUAUUGGUCAAUGGUCGGGAGACUGAACCAGCCAAGCCGCGUGAGGGAUGAAGGUACAGAGUAUCGUAAACCUCUUUUGUCAGGGAACAAAGGCGGGGACGUGUCCCCGGAUGAGUGUACCUGAAGAAAAAGCAUCGGCUAACUCCGUGCCAGCAGCCGCGGUAAUCCGGGGGAUGCAGGCGUUGUCCGGUUUUAUGGGUUUUAAAGGGUGGUCAGGCGGUCUGUUCAGUCAGCGGGCAAAGCCCGGGGUUCAACCCCGGCCCGCCGUUGAAACUGGCAGUCUCGAGUUGGAGAGAAGUAUGCGGAAUGCGCGGUGUAGCGGUGAAAUGCAUAGAUAUCGCGCAGAACUCCGAUUGCGAAGGCAGCAUGCCGGCUCCACACUGACGCUGAGGCACGAAAGCGUGGGUAUCGAACAGGAUUAGAGACCCCAGUAGUC